rnacentral:rRNA from 1 species
UACGUAGGGACCAAGCGUUGUUCGGAUUUACUGGGCGUAAAGGGCGCGUAGGCGGCUAUUCAAGUCAUCUGUGAAAUCUCCGGGCUUAACUCGGAACGGUCAGAUGAUACUGCUUUGCUAGAGUGCGGAAGGGGCAAUCGGAAUUCUUGGUGUAGCGGUGAAAUGCGUAGAUAUCAAGAGGAACACCUGAGGUGAAGACGGGUUGCUGGGCCGACACUGACGCUGAGUGCGCGAAAGCCAGGGGAGCAAACAGG